AAUAUUUUAAAAGCGCCAGAACCAUCAGAUAUCAGAAGUUAGAUGUUGGACGUUGGAAGUUAGAGAAAUCCGACUAUUGGCUUAUCGAUAAUAAGUUUUUUAAUCACUGGACAACUGAGCACUGGGCACUGAGUACUGGUCACUGGGCACGAAAUCGUGCAUUCACUAGCCACUAGCCACCAGUCACUAGUCACUUCCUAGAUGGUUGACGAGGGUGGGAGUUAAUCGAAGAAUUCGGCGGAUGCUCCCCGGUCACUGUAUGACCGAAAGAGGCAUUACAAAACCCGAAAGUAAUUUCGGGUACAAAGGGUGUCAAAUACAGUUG
rnacentral:ncRNA from 2 species